CUGAGGGUGUCCAGGCGCCAGAUCCGAAGCGAAUGUCUUCGGCUGGUAGCUCAUGGGUGGAACAUUGACAUUGGUGCAGCAGGAACCGGUCUGGUUCGAGUACGCCUCCUUGUGGGGUUGGAAAGGGUCGGGUCGGGGAGGGUUGCACGUGCACGCUGUUGGGUCCUGAGGGACCGGGCCGGCACCUUCGGGUGUGGGACUGAACCUCUGGACCCUUUCCUUGUUCCCGUGAGGGGAUGUGGGGGAGGGUACCGCCCGUACUUUGAGAACUACACAGUGGACGCGAGCAUCUUAGAUUCAGGCUUCGGCCUGGAUCACAAGAUCUGAUUUAUUUAGAUCAUUGGUCAAUCUCGGCACUUCGGUGCCGCGAUCGAUUCAUACUCAUGUGAUUUCAAGUUUCUAAGAGCAGACGGUGGAUGCCUUGGCAUCUGGAGCCGAAGAAGGACGUAGUAAUCUGCGAUAAGCCUCGGGGAGCUGAUAAACGAGCUGUGAUCCGAGGGUUUCCGAAUGGGGAAACCCCGCCGGGCCCUUUG
rnacentral:misc_RNA from 1 species